rnacentral:tRNA from 1 species
GGGGUUGUAGCUCAGCGGUAGAGCACUCGCCUAGAAUGCGUGAGGCCCUGGAUUCGAUCCUCAGCACCA